AUGCCACAAAAGAAGAGAUGGAGAGAGGUGAAAGGGAACGGUGCAUUGUUGUUAAAGACACUGCCAUAAGUCAGGCGUUUGGUGGGCCACGUGGUGCUGAUGGGAGAGUCCGAGACAUGUAUGGCAAGAGCCUUGUAGUCCUUAACACUAGUACUGAACAUACUGGAGUUCAUGAAUCAACAGGAAAAGGAGUGAAUGAAGAAACACCUUUUAUUAGUGAAUGAGCAGCAGAAGAAGAGUUCAGUUUGAUGAGAUAAGACACUCCCACUAGUGACAUCAACAUUUGAGCUGUGUCUUAAUCCAUCCGUCCAAAGUGAGAAAUGAACCCCGUGCAACCUCAUACGCUCACCUUGACAAUAGAAACACCACUGGCUAGUCAAUUUUUUUGAUUACUCACCAGGCUAAUAUAUGUAUAUAUAAAUGAGCACCAGCCAGUGAGAACCAGAAGUGGCUUCUGCUUACAAUUAAAAUACAAAUACUCCACUAUUUUAACAGGAAAAUACAACAAAGAAUAUAAUUUACAUGUAGCAUAUCAGUUCAACGUGUCUCGCCCCUGUUGGAUUACGUUCGC